UACGUAGGGUGCAAGCGUUAAUCGGAAUUACUGGGCGUAAAGCGUGCGCAGGCGGUUUUGUAAGCCAGAUGUGAAAUCCCCGGGCUUAACCUGGGAAUGGCAUUUGGGACUGCAAGGCUCGAGUGCGGCAGAGGAGACUGGAAUUCCUGGUGUAGCAGUGGAAAUGCGUAGAUAUCAGGAGGAACACCGAUGGCGAAGGCAGGUCUCUGGGCUGACACUGACGCUCAUGCACGAAAGCGUGGGGAGCAAACAGG
rnacentral:rRNA from 1 species